GCGACAAAUCCCCCCUGCUCCUGCGGGAAC
rnacentral:sRNA from 1 species